rnacentral:lncRNA from 1 species
CUCAUUCUUAUAAUUCUAACGGUCAUAAGCCUCUUCACUUAACUCUGUCUGUUCUUUGUCCUGCAUAAUCCUAGUCAAUAAUUCCAGCUCUUUUGUUUGAAUCACUCAGAGAGCGUGUGUUGCUGAGUUUCCUCCUGCUGGUGGCAUUCUCUUGGGAAGGACUGCCUCUCCUGCCCUGGAUUUGGAUCUUGACCUUUACUGAGCGCAUUUAGCUUCCAUCAAAAUUGACUGCACACAUUCUUUGUUCAUGAAUCAGACGUCGUCGAUACAGCUUUCAUGGGAUUAGGAUGCUUUAUUCCAACCUUCAUCUUCAGGGAUUUCCAUGUAGAUGCUGCAUUGAUGUUCUAGGUAUUCUAAAAGAUGCAAAGUAGAAUUAGACAAUGAUUCUGCUCUGAAGCCAUCUAUAAUUUCAUAAUGAAGAUAUAAUGACAAUUCAAAUUUACAAGAGAAAGUAAUGUGCCAGAAACGAGAACCUACCAAGCAUCUGGGCAGGGAAAACACUGUUUCUGAUGUACAAGGGCCAAGCCAGAAGGGCAUCCUGGGGCAAGACAGACGUAUCAGUGACUGCAAAUAAUUCCUGGACAUUUCCUAUUUUUUAUUGUAUUUUCCCUCAGUUAUCUACACUUUCUCUUUUUCCCAAUAAAAUUAGUCCAAUCUUACAUUACAAUAUUUCACCUUGUUAAUAAAACCCAGGACCAAAGAAGGAGAAUAACAGGGUUUUCUAAUCACCAUAUCUUAAUCUCUGAAUCUAGUCUGGACAGAAUGAUCACUUCCUGGAGGAAGUUGUCAUAGGGAGCGUUUACCAGCCAGUGGAAUAGGGACCCCUGCCG